UGCAAGUCGUGCGGACCUUUUAAAAGCUUGCUUUUAACAAGGCUAGCGGCGGACGGGUGAGUAACACGUGGGCAACCUGCCUGUAAGACCGGGAUAACGCCGGGAAACCGGGGCUAAUACCGGAUAGUUUUUUCCUCCGCAUGGAGGAAAAAGGAAAGGCGGCUUCGGCUGCCACUUACAGAUGGGCCCGCGGCGCAUUAGCUAGUUGGUGGGGUAACGGCCCACCAAGGCAACGAUGCGUAGCCGACCUGAGAGGGUGAUCGGCCACAUUGGGACUGAGACACGGCCCAAACUCCUACGGGAGGCAGCAGUAGGGAAUCUUCCGCAAUGGACGAAAGUCUGACGGAGCAACGCCGCGUGAGUGAAGAAGGCCUUCGGGUCGUAAAACUCUGUUGCCGGGGAAGAACAAGUGCCGUUCGAACAGGGCGGCGCCUUGACGGUACCCGGCCAGAAAGCCACGGCUAACUAC
rnacentral:rRNA from 1 species